GGAGCGGUAGUUCAGUCGGUUAGAACGCCAGCCUGUCACGUUGGAGGUCGCGGGUUCGAGUCCCGUCCGCUCCGCCA
rnacentral:tRNA from 2 species